GAUCAUGGCUCAGGAUGAACGCUAGCUACAGGCUUAACACAUGCAGGUCGAGGGGCAGCGGGAUUGAAGCUUGCUUCAAUUGCCGGCGACCGGCGCACGGGUGAGUAACGCGUAUCCAACCUUCCGUACACUCAGGGAUAGCCUUUCGAAGAAAGAUUAAUACCUGAUGGUAUGAUGAGAUUGCAUGAUAUCAUCAUUAAAGAAUUUAUCGGUGUACGAUGGGAG
rnacentral:rRNA from 1 species